GGAAUUCGCCCUUAGAGUUUGAUCCUGGCUCAGGAUGAACGCUAGCUACAGGCUUAACACAUGCAAGUCGAGGGGAAACGAUAUUGGAAGCUUGCUUCCGAUAGGCGUCGACCGGCGCACGGGUGAGUAACGCGUAUCCAACCUGCCCAUCACUUGGGGAUAACCUUGCGAAAGUAAGACUAAUACCCAAUGACGUCUCUAGAAGACAUCUGAAAGAGAUUAAAGAUUUAUCGGUGAUGGGUGGGGAUGCGUCUGAUUAGCUUGUUGGCGGGGUAACGGCCCACCAAGGCGACGAUCAGUAGGGGUUCUGAGAGGAAGGUCCCCCACAUUGGAACUGAGACACGGUCCAAACUCCUACGGGAGGCAGCAGUGAGGAAUAUUGGUCAAUGGGCGAGAGCCUGAACCAGCCAAGUAGCGUGCAGGAUGACGGCCCUAUGGGUUGUAAACUGCUUUUAUAAGGGAAUAAAGUGAGCCUCGUGAGGCUUUUUGCAUGUACCUUAUGAAUAAGGACCGGCUAAUUCCGUGCCAGCAGCCGCGGUAAUACGGAAGGUCCGGGCGUUAUCCGGAUUUAUUGGGUUUAAAGGGAGCGUAGGCCGGAGAUUAAGCGUGUUGUGAAAUGUAGAUGCUCAACAUCUGCACUGCAGCGCGAACUGGUUUCCUUGAGUACGCACAAAGUGGGCGGAAUUCGUGGUGUAGCGGUGAAAUGCUUAGAUAUCACGAAGAACUCCGAUUGCGAAGGCAGCUCACUGGAGCGCAACUGACGCUGAAGCUCGAAAGUGCGGGUAUCGAACAGGAUUAGAUACCCUGGUAGUCCGCACGGUAAACGAUGGAUGCCCGCUGUUGGUCUGAAUAGGUCAGCGGCCAAGCGAAAGCAUUAAGCAUCCCACCUGGGGAGUACGCCGGCAACGGUGAAACUCAAAGGAAUUGACGG
rnacentral:rRNA from 1 species